UUACUGAGUUACAAACUCCAAACCCUUCUGUGGACUGUCGAAACGUUGCCUCGGCGGGCUCGCCCGCCGGUGGCCCCAAACCAAACUCUUUUAGAACGUACUUCUGAGUGGCGCAGACAAAAUAAAGUCAAAACUUUCAGCAACGGAUCUCUUGGCUCUGGCAUCGAUGAAGAACGCAGCGAAAUGCGAUAAGUAAUGUGAAUUGCAGAAUUCAGCGAAUCAUCGAAUCUUUGAACGCACAUUGCGCCCGCUGGUAUUCCGGCGGGCAUGCCUGUUCGAGCGUCAUCAAAACCCCUCCGGCCGACGUCCUCCCUUCGGGGGGGAAACCGUAUGGCCGGGUGUUGGGACACCGCCGGACCCUCCAACGGUCCCGCGGGCCCCAAAAUCGAGUGGCGGACGCCCCCGAGCCUCCCAGCGCAGUAGCUUCGGUCUCGCUGACGGUGGACGGGAGCGGUGCCUGCCUCGCUCGUGGAAAAGCCUCCGGGCCUACCACGAACCCCCCCAACAAGUUUGACCUCGGAUCAGGUAGGACUACCCGCUGAACUUAAGCAUAUCAAUAAGCGGAGGAAAAGAAACCAACAGGGAUUGCCUCAGUAACGGCGAGUGAAGCGGCAACAGCUCAAAUUUGAAAUCUGGCUUCGGCCCGAGUUGUAAUUUGUAGAGGAUGCUUCUGGCGACGUGCCUUCCGAGUCCCCUGGAACGGGGCGCCGGAGAGGGUGAGAGCCCCGUACGGUUGGACGCCGAGCCUGUGUGAAGCUCCUUCGACGAGUCGAGUAGUUUGGGAAUGCUGCUCUAAAUGGGAGGUAAAUUCCUUCUAAAGCUAAAUACCGGCCAGAGACCGAUAGCGCACAAGUAGAGUGAUCGAAAGAUGAAAAGCACUUUGGAAAGAGGGUUAAAAAGUACGUGAAAUUGCUGAAAGGGAAGCGCUUGCGACCAGACUCGCGCCGGACGGAUCAUCCAGCGUUCUCGCUGGUGCACUUCGCCCGGCCCGGGCCAGCAUCGGUUCUGACGGGGGGAUAAAAGCCUGGGAAACGUAGCUCUCCUCGGAGAGUGUUAUAGUCCCUUGCCCAAUGUCCCCGCCGGGACCGAGGACCGCG
rnacentral:rRNA from 1 species